AUUCCGGUUGAUCCUGCCGGAGGCCAUUGCUAUCGGGGUCCGAUUUAGCCAUGCUAGUCGCACGAGUUCAUACUCGUGGCGGAAAGCUCAGUAACACGUGGCCAAACUACCCUGUGGACCAGCAUAACCUCGGGAAACUGAGGCUAAUUCUGGAUAACACCCACAUCCUGGAGUGGAGUGGGUGUGAAACGUUCCGGCGCCACAGGAUGUGGCUGCGGCCGAUUAGGUAGACGGUGGGGUAACGGCCCACCGUGCCCAUAAUCGGUACGGGUGAUGAGAGUCAGAGCCCGGAGACGGUAUCUGAGACAAGAUACCGGGCCCUACGGGGCGCAGCAGGCGCGAAACCUUUACACUGCACGAGAGUGCGAUAGGGGGACCCCGAGUGCGAGGGCAUACAGUCCUCGCUUUUCACCACUGUAAGGUGGUGGUGGAAUAAGUGCUGGGCAAGACCGGUGCCAGCCGCCGCGGUAAUACCGGCAGCACGAGUGAUGGCCGAUUUUAUUGGGCCUAAAGCGUCCGUAGCCGGCCAGACAGGUCCAUCGGGAAAUCUGCACGCCCAACGUGCAGGCGUCCGGUGGAAACCAGCUGGCUUGGGGCCGGAAGAUCCAGGGGGUACGUCCGGGGUAGGAGUGAAAUCCCGUAAUCCCGGACGGACCGCCGGUGGCGAAAGCGCCCUGGAAGGACGGACCCGACGGUGAGGGACGAAAGCUAAGGUCACGAACCGGAUUAGAUACCCGGGUAGUCUUAGCUGUAAACGAUGUCCGCUAGGUGUGGCGCAGGCUACGAGCCUGCGCUGUGCCGCAGUGAAGGCGCUAAGCGGACCGCCUGGGAAGUACGUCUGCAAGGAUGAAACUUAAAGGAAUUGGCGGGGGAGCACUACAACCGGAGGAGCCUGCGGUUUAAUUGGACUCAACGCCGGACAUCUCACCGGCACCGACAGCAGUAAUGACAGUCAGGCUGAUGCCCUUACUCGAUGCUGCUGAGAGGAGGUGCAUGGCCGCCGUCAGCUCGUACCGUGAGGCGUCCUGUUAAGUCAGGCAACGAGCGAGAUCCGUAUUCCUAAUUGCCAGCAACGCCGUGAGGCGGUUGGGUACAUUAGGAAGACUGCCGCCGCUAAGGCGGAGGAAGGAGCGGGCAACGGUAGGUCAGUAUGCCCCGAAUGUGCCGGGCGACACGCGGGCUACAAUGGCCGAGACAGUGGGAUGCGACCCCGAGAGGGGAAGCUAAUCUCCUAAACUCGGUCGUAGUUCGGAUUGCGGGCUGAAACCCGCCCGCAUGAAGCUGGAUUCGGUAGUAAUCGCCGUUCAGAAGACGGCGGUGAAUACGUCCCUGCUCCUUGCACACACCGCCCGUCAAAUCACCCGAGUGGGAUCCGGAUGAGGCCCGGUUCCCGGGUCGAAUCUGGGUUCCGCAAGGGGGAUUAAGUCGUAACAAGGUAGCCGUAGGGGAAUCUGCGGCUGGAUCACCUCCA
rfam:Salinarchaeum sp. Harcht-Bsk1, complete genome.